AUGGCAAAGUGCCAGAUUCUAGUAGUGUAUGUCCUAGAAGGACCGCUAGGUGAAGCACCCAUCCCAGAGAACCAAGACGUUAUGAAUGCUUGGCAGUCACGUGCUGAUGAUUACUCCCUCGUUGAGUGCGGCAUACUUUACAGCUUAGAACCAGGGCUCCAAAAGCGUUUUGAGCAACACGGAGCAUAUGAGAUGUUCGAGGAGCUGAAAAUGGUUUUCCCAGCUCAUGCCCGGGUCGAGAGAUAUGAAGUCUCCGACAAGUUCUAUAGUUGUAAUAUGGAGGAAAAUAGUUCUGUGAGUGAGCACAUACUCAAAAUGUCUGGGUUGCACAACCGCCUGUCCCAGCUGGACAUUAACCUCCCGGACGAGGCGGUCAUUGACAGAAUCCUUCAGUCGCUCCCACCGAGCUACAAGAGCUUUGUGAUGAACUACAAUAUGCAGGGGAUGGAGAAAACCAUUCCUGAAGUAUUUUCAAUGCUGAAGUCGGCAUGGGUAGAGAUCAAGAAAGAACAUUAA
rnacentral:rRNA from 1 species